rnacentral:rRNA from 1 species
AUGCCCUUCUCUACGGAAUAGCCUCGGGAAACUGAGAGUAAUACCGUAUACGCCCUACGGGGGAAAGAUUUAUCGGGGAAGGAUUAGCCCGCGUUGGAUUAGGUAGUUGGUGGGGUAAUGGCCUACCAAGCCGACGAUCCAUAGCUGGUUUGAGAGGAUGAUCAGCCACACUGGGACUGAGACACGGCCCAGACUCCUACGGGAGGCAGCAGUGGGGAAUCUUAGACAAUGGGGGCAACCCUGAUCUAGCCAUGCCGCGUGAGUGAUGAAGGCCUUAGGGUUGUAAAGCUCUUUCAGCUGGGAAGAUAAUGACGGUACCAGCAGAAGAAGCCCCGGCUAACUCCGUGCCAGCAGCCGCGGUAAUACGGAGGGGGCUAGCGUUGUUCGGAAUUACUGGGCGUAAAGCGCACGUAGGCGGACUGGAAAGUUGGGGGUGAAAUCCCGGGGCUCAACCUCGGAACUGCCUUCAAAACUAUCAGUCUGGAGUUCGAGAGAGGUGAGUGGAAUUCCGAGUGUAGAGGUGAAAUUCGUAGAUAUUCGGAGGAACACCAG